rnacentral:tRNA from 1 species
GGUGGCUCAGUGGUAGAGUGCUUGUCUUGCAUGCAUGGGGUCCUGGGUUCGAUUCCUUAGCACCA